AUUGAACGCUGGCGGCAUGCCUUACACAUGCAAGUCGAACGGCAGCACGGGAGCAAUCCUGGUGGCGAGUGGCGAACGGGUGAGUAAAGUAUCGGAACGUGCCCAGUCGUGGGGGAUAACGUAGCGAAAGUUACGCUAAUACCGCAUACGAUCUAUGGAUGAAAGCGGGGGAUCGCAAGACCUCGCGCGCUUGGAGCGGCCGAUAUCAGAUUAGGUAGUUGGUGGGGUAAAGGCUCACCAAGCCGACGAUCUGUAGCUGGUCUGAGAGGACGACCAGCCACACUGGGACUGAGACACGGCCCAGACUCCUACGGGAGGCAGCAGUGGGGAAUUUUGGACAAUGGGCGAAAGCCUGAUCCAGCCAUGACGCGUGCAGGAUGAAGGCCUUCGGGUUGUAAACUGCUUUUGUACGGAACGAAAAGGUUUGGCCUAAUAAGCUGAGCUCAUGACGGUACCGUAAGAAUAAGCACCGGCUAACUACGUGCCAGCAGCCGCAGUAA
rnacentral:rRNA from 1 species